rnacentral:rRNA from 1 species
AGCGAACGCUGGCGGCAGGCCUAACACAUGCAAGUCGAACGAACCUUUCGGGGUUAGUGGCGGACGGGUGAGUAACACGUGGGAACGUGCCUUUAGGUUCGGAAUAACUCAGGGAAACUUGUGCUAAUACCGAAUGUGCCCUUCGGGGGAAAGAUUAAUCGCCUUUAGAGCGGCCCGCGUCUGAUUAGCUAGUUGGUUGAGGUAAUGGCUCACCAAGGCGACGAUCAGUAGCUGGUCUGAGAGGAUGAUCAGCCACAUUGGGACUGAGACACGGCCCAAACUCCUACGGGAGGCAGCAGUGGGGAAUCUUGCGAAAUGGGCGAAAGCCUGACGCAGCCAUGCCGCGUGAAUGAUGAAGGUCUUAGGAAUGUAAAAUUCUUUCACCGGGGACGAUAAUGACGGUACCAGGAGAAGAAGCCCCGGCUAACUUCGU